rnacentral:lncRNA from 1 species
AAAAUUUCAGUGAUUUGAUACCUCAAGUUGACUUAUAUGAUAAAAUUAUUUUAACGCGUCAACAAAAUUUCCGUGAUUUGAUACCUCAACAAUCAUGACAAUGCUGAAGCUGACUCAUAUAAUAAAAUUAUUUUUACACGUCAACAAAAUUUCAGUGAUUUGAUACCUCAAGCUGACUCAUAUGAUAAAAUUAUUUUAACGCGUAAACAAAAUUUCAGUGAUUUGAUACCUCAACAAUGCUGAAGCUGACUCAUAAAUAAAAAUUAUUUUAACACAUAAACAAAAUUUCAGUGAUUUGAUACCUCAAGCUGACUCAUAUGAUAAAAUUAUUUUAACGCGUCAACAAAAUUUCAGUGAUUUGAUACCUCAACAAUGCUGAAGCUGACUCAUAUAAUAAAAUUAGUUUAACACGUAAACAAAAUUUCAGUGAUUU